CUACGGGAUGCAGCAGUUGGGAGUAUUGCGCAAUGGACGAAAGUCUGACGCAGCGACGCCGCGUGCAGGAAGAAUGUCUUCGGACUGUAAACUGCUUUUUUUAGGGAAUAAUUUUUGAAGGUACCUAAAGAAUAAGUACCGGCUAAACACGUGCCAGCAGCCGCGGUAAUACGUGUGGUACAAACGUUGUCCGGAAUCACUGGGCGUAAAGCGUACGUAGGUGGUUUAAGUAGUCUCCAAUUAAAGACCAAGGCCCAACCUUGGGAAUGUUGGAGAAACCAUUAGACUUGAGAAUCGCAGGGGCUAGCGGAACGAUCGGUGUAGGAGUGAAAUCCGUUGAUAUCGAUCGGAACACCAAAGGCGAAGGCAGCUGGCUAGGCGAUAUCUGACACUAAGGUACGAAAGCGUGGGUAGCGAAUGGGAUUAGAUACCCGAGUAGUC
rnacentral:rRNA from 1 species